CGGACGGGUGAGUAAUGUCUGGGGAUCUGCCCGGCAGAGGGGGAUAACUACUGGAAACGGUAGCUAAUACCGCAUAACCUCGCAAGAGCAAAGAGGGGGACCUUCGGGCCUCUCGCUGCCGGAUGAACCCAGAUGGGAUUAGCUAGUUGGUGGGGUAACGGCUCACCAAGGCGACGAUCCCUAGCUGGUCUGAGAGGAUGACCAGCCACACUGGAACUGAGACACGGUCCAGACUCCUACGGGAGGCAGCAGUGGGGAAUAUUGCACAAUGGGCGCAAGCCUGAUGCAGCCAUGCCGCGUGUAUGAAGAAGGCCUUCGGGUUGUAAAGUACUUUCAGCGGGGAGGAAGGGUCGCUGGUUAAUAACCAGCGGCAUUGACGUUACCCGCAGAAGAAGCACCGGCUAACUCCGUGCCAGCAGCCGCGGUAAUACGGAGGGCGCAAGCGUUCAUCGGAAUUACUGGGCGUAAAGCGCACGCAGGCGGUCUGUCAAGUCAGAUGUGAAAUCCCCGGGCUUAACCUGGGAACUGCAUUUGAAACUGGCAGGCUAGAGUCUUGUAGAGGGGGGUAGAAUUCCAGGUGUAGCGGUGAAAUGCGUAGAGAUCUGGAGGAAUACCGGUGGCGAAGGCGGCCCCCUGGACAAAGACUGACGCUCAGGUGCGAAAGCGUGGGGAGCAAACAGGAUUAGAUACCCUGGUAGUCCACGCCGUAAACGAUGUCGACUUGGAGGU
rnacentral:rRNA from 1 species